UGGGGAAUAUUGGACAAUGGGCGAAAGCCUGAUCCAGCAAUGCCGCGUGAGUGAUGAAGGCCUUAGGGUUGUAAAGCUCUUUUACCCGGGAAGAUAAUGACUGUACCGGGAGAAUAAGCCCCGGCUAACUCCGUGCCAGCAGCCGCGGUAAUACGGAGGGGGCUAGCGUUGUUCGGAAUUACUGGGCGUAAAGCGUACGUAGGCGGCUUUGUAAGUUAGAGGUGAAAGCCCGGGGCUCAACCCCGGAAUUGCCUUUAAGACUGCAUCGCUUGAAUCGUGGAGAGGUGAGUGGAAUUCCGAGUGUAGAGGUGAAAUUCGUAGAUAUUCGGAAGAACACCAGUGGCGAAGGCGGCUCACUGGACACGUAUUGACGCUGAGGUACGAAAGCGUGGGGAGCAAACA
rnacentral:rRNA from 1 species